CUCAUAAAGUUCCGAAUCGGGCCCUCUUCUCCCAGUCUUUAAUUAUUUAUUUCCAUCUUUUAAAUUUUUAGUUUAGAAUUCUAAUUUUAAUUUUAAUCCAAGAUAGAUUAAAUUUCUUUUAUUCCCAUUUUAAAUUUUUCCUUUUAUUUAAAACCAAAAAUGUAGAUAUUAUCCUUUUAUUAUUAAUUUUUCUUUUUUAAUUAAGUCCCAAAAUUGUCCAAAGUCUCAAAAAUGUCCAAAAUGGUCCAAGUUCAACGCGUCCCCAAAGCUGCGAUCUAUCACGCGUUCCAAUCCAAACAGUCUGUAUGCUCAAUCUCAAUCCAAAUCCAGUUCAAGCCUCAUCCGCCAAAAAACCCAGGAACACAAACGCGUCUCCAUCUUUCAUCCAAAUCCGAUUCCAUCCCAAUCACCUAAUUUCUGCGGAUUUUAAACAAACCCUAGCCUCAACCCAGCACUAUAAAUAGAGCCCUGCACAACACAAGAACAACACACUGGAUCACACAGCAGAACACGGAAAAACAACAGAAGGAGAGGAAGC
rnacentral:lncRNA from 1 species